GGUUAAGCGACUAAGCGUACACGGUGGAUGCCCUGGCAGUCAGAGGCGAUGAAGGACGUGCUAAUCUGCGAUAAGCGUCGGUAAGGUGAUAUGAACCGUUAUAACCGGCGAUUUCCGAAUGGGGAAACCCAGUGUGAUUCGUCACACUAUCAUUAACUGAAUCCAUAGGUUAAUGAGGCGAACCGGGGGAACUGAAACAUCUAAGUACCCCGAGGAAAAGAAAUCAACCGAGAUUCCCCCAGUAGCGGCGAGCGAACGGGGAGCAGCCCAGAGCCUGAAUCAGUGUGUGUGUUAGUGGAAGCGUCUGGAAAGGCGCGCGAUACAGGGUGACAGCCCCGUACACAAAAAUGCACAUGCUGUGAGCUCGAUGAGUAGGGCGGGACACGUGGUAUCCUGUCUGAAUAUGGGGGGACCAUCCUCCAAGGCUAAAUACUCCUGACUGACCGAUAGUGAACCAGUACCGUGAGGGAAAGGCGAAAAGAACCCCGGCGAGGGGAGUGAAAAAGAACCUGAAACCGUGUACGUACAAGCAGUGGGAGCACAGAGCAAUCUGUGUGACUGCGUACCUUUUGUAUAAUGGGUCAGCGACUUAUAUUCUGUAGCAAGGUUAACCGAAUAGGGGAGCCGAAGGGAAACCGAGUCUUAACUGGGCGUUAAGUUGCAGGGUAUAGACCCGAAACCCGGUGAUCUAGCCAUGGGCAGGUUGAAGGUUGGGUAACACUAACUGGAGGACCGAACCGACUAAUGUUGAAAAAUUAGCGGAUGACUUGUGGCUGGGGGUGAAAGGCCAAUCAAACCGGGAGAUAGCUGGUUCUCCCCGAAAGCUAUUUAGGUAGCGCCUCGUGAAUUCAUCUCCGGGGGUAGAGCACUGUUUCGGCAAGGGGGUCAUCCCGACUUACCAACCCGAUGCAAACUGCGAAUACCGGAGAAUGUUAUCACGGGAGACACACGGCGGGUGCUAACGUCCGUCGUGAAGAGGGAAACAACCCAGACCGCCAGCUAAGGUCCCAAAGUCAUGGUUAAGUGGGAAACGAUGUGGGAAGGCCCAGACAGCCAGGAUGUUGGCUUAGAAGCAGCCAUCAUUUAAAGAAAGCGUAAUAGCUCACUGGUCGAGUCGGCCUGCGCGGAAGAUGUAACGGGGCUAAACCAUGCACCGAAGCUGCGGCAGCGACGCUUAUGCGUUGUUGGGUAGGGGAGCGUUCUGUAAGCCUGUGAAGGUGUACUGUGAGGUAUGCUGGAGGUAUCAGAAGUGCGAAUGCUGACAUAAGUAACGAUAAAGCGGGUGAAAAGCCCGCUCGCCGGAAGACCAAGGGUUCCUGUCCAACGUUAAUCGGGGCAGGGUGAGUCGACCCCUAAGGCGAGGCCGAAAGGCGUAGUCGAUGGGAAACAGGUUAAUAUUCCUGUACUUGGUGUUACUGCGAAGGGGGGACGGAGAAGGCUAUGUUGGCCGGGCGACGGUUGUCCCGGUUUAAGCGUGUAGGCUGGUUUUCCAGGCAAAUCCGGAAAAUCAAGGCUGAGGCGUGAUGACGAGGCACUACGGUGCUGAAGCAACAAAUGCCCUGCUUCCAGGAAAAGCCUCUAAGCAUCAGGUAACAUCAAAUCGUACCCCAAACCGACACAGGUGGUCAGGUAGAGAAUACCAAGGCGCUUGAGAGAACUCGGGUGAAGGAACUAGGCAAAAUGGUGCCGUAACUUCGGGAGAAGGCACGCUGAUAUGUAGGUGAAGUCCCUCGCGGAUGGAGCUGAAAUCAGUCGAAGAUACCAGCUGGCUGCAACUGUUUAUUAAAAACACAGCACUGUGCAAACACGAAAGUGGACGUAUACGGUGUGACGCCUGCCCGGUGCCGGAAGGUUAAUUGAUGGGGUCAGCGCAAGCGAAGCUCUUGAUCGAAGCCCCGGUAAACGGCGGCCGUAACUAUAACGGUCCUAAGGUAGCGAAAUUCCUUGUCGGGUAAGUUCCGACCUGCACGAAUGGCGUAAUGAUGGCCAGGCUGUCUCCACCCGAGACUCAGUGAAAUUGAACUCGCUGUGAAGAUGCAGUGUACCCGCGGCAAGACGGAAAGACCCCGUGAACCUUUACUAUAGCUUGACACUGAACAUUGAGCCUUGAUGUGUAGGAUAGGUGGGAGGCUUUGAAGUGUGGACGCCAGUCUGCAUGGAGCCGACCUUGAAAUACCACCCUUUAAUGUUUGAUGUUCUAACGUUGACCCGUGAUCCGGGUUGCGGACAGUGUCUGGUGGGUAGUUUGACUGGGGCGGUCUCCUCCUAAAGAGUAACGGAGGAGCACGAAGGUUGGCUAAUCCUGGUCGGACAUCAGGAGGUUAGUGCAAUGGCAUAAGCCAGCUUGACUGCGAGCGUGACGGCGCGAGCAGGUGCGAAAGCAGGUCAUAGUGAUCCGGUGGUUCUGAAUGGAAGGGCCAUCGCUCAACGGAUAAAAGGUACUCCGGGGAUAACAGGCUGAUACCGCCCAAGAGUUCAUAUCGACGGCGGUGUUUGGCACCUCGAUGUCGGCUCAUCACAUCCUGGGGCUGAAGUAGGUCCCAAGGGUAUGGCUGUUCGCCAUUUAAAGUGGUACGCGAGCUGGGUUUAGAACGUCGUGAGACAGUUCGGUCCCUAUCUGCCGUGGGCGCUGGAGAACUGAGGGGGGCUGCUCCUAGUACGAGAGGACCGGAGUGGACGCAUCACUGGUGUUCGGGUUGUCAUGCCAAUGGCACUGCCCGGUAGCUAAAUGCGGAAGAGAUAAGUGCUGAAAGCAUCUAAGCACGAAACUUGCCCCGAGAUGAGUUCUCCCUGACUCCUUGAGAGUCCUGAAGGAACGUUGAAGACGACGACGUUGAUAGGCCGGGUGUGUAAGCGCAGCGAUGCGUUGAGCUAACCGGUACUAAUGAACCGUGAGGCUUAACCUU
rnacentral:rRNA from 1 species